GCAUGCGGCGUAAUUCGACGCAAACGCGAAGAACCUGACCAAGGCUUGACAUAUAGGGUAAAGUGUCAGAGAUGUCAUGUCCGCAAGGGCUCUAUACAGCUGGUGCAUGGUUGUCGUCAGCUCGUGUCGUGAGAUGUUGGGUUAAGUCCCGCAACGAGCGCAACCCUCGUUCUGUGUUGCCAGCAUUUAGUUGGGGACUCACAGGAGACUGCCGGGGUUAACUCGGAGGAAGGUGGGGAUGACGUCAAAUCAUCAUGCCCCUUAUGUCUUGGGCUGCACGCAUGCUACAAUGGCCGGUACAGAGGGCUGCAAUACCGUAAGGUGGAGCGAAUCCCAAAAAGCCGGUCUCAGUUCGGAUUGAGGUCUGCAACUCGACCUCAUGAAGUUGGAGUUGCUAGUAAUCGUAGAUCAGCAACGCUACGGUGAAUACGUUCCCGGGGCUUGUACACACCGCCCGUCACGUCACGAAAUCGUAACACCCAAAGUCAGUGGCCCAAC
rnacentral:rRNA from 1 species